AUCAUUCUACAUUUUUACUAGCCCUGAAAGAAAUAUCAUAGAUGUGAUUGCCAAAGGACAAAAAAGAAUGAUUACCCAGCUAGCCACUGCCACUGUAUGUUGUGCCAUUAGCAGUAAAGCUAGACCAGGACUCAUCAACUACAUUUUUCCAAGGGCAAGAAUUUUUUUAGGCAAACACU